GGGAUCACUGAAGGCAACGACGCUGGAGGUGAAGCUUUGGGAGGAGAUGUGCUUAAUCUCUGGCUGAGGUGCUGGGCUGUCCUCCAGUUGUGUACUGAUGUAGCUCUGUGUUGUUCCUGGUAAAAACAGUGAUCCUUCCUCAGUGAGUCAGCCUCUGCAGUCUUGAAGUUCACUGCUGGGUGGUUUCUUUGAGGACCCGAAUGCCAAGAGCUUGAUUUCACAGGGAACUUAAGCAUGUACUGAAUUUUAAGCACGUGGUUUAGUGUUUUGCUGGAUUGCGUGCUGAGAAAGGUCAAGUUAUUCAUUGGCUGUGGAUAGUGGUCCCUGCACAGCAUCUUCCAUAGGAUGUAUCUCCGUGAGGUAGGGUUAGUCUCCCAAAUUUUUGAAUGUUCAAUCCAGUUGCUGACGUGGGAGGUGCUUGGUUAAGUCAAGCGCUCAGUGUAGAUGUAUGAUGACUCUUGAUGAUGUUUCUCAGGUCAUCACGGAGCAAUUCUUCAAUUUACAUGUAUAGAGUGUGCUGAUCAUUACUAAAGCUAAAGAGUUUUAUAGGGGAGAAAAUGAUCUUUUUUUUUUUUUUAAUCAAAUGAUUAAGUUUAUAUGGCGAUGCCUUUUUUAGCUUUCUAAGAUCUGAGAAUUACUCUAGUGCAUUGCAAUGUUGCUCAUCACCCUCGCUGAUGUAUUUUGGGAGUUGAGCUGGAGAGUGCUGUUGAGGAAGCAAAUCAGAUUAUAUGUCAGCACUUGAUUCCAUCACUGGCCUUGAUUUAACUUCCUUCUGGGUAGAAGGGAUAAAAUGUCUCUGACCAACACUGAAAAUCUUUGCAGGUCAUUCUCUGCUGCCAUGGUAUUGGCAAAGGAAUCAGUCCAGCUUCUGCAUCCUCCUUCUCAUGGCCUCCUUAUGUCCUGUCCCAUCUCUUGCUUCUGUUUCGAAUAAAUGGAAUUUCUGUAAACUAAAGGGUGGAAUCUUCUAAGGCAAGUUUAAAUUAUCCGGAUCCAGAAUUGUUAUGUGGAGGAGGCAGGAUGAAUUUUAUGUCUACUAACAGAAAAACAAACAAACA